rnacentral:rRNA from 1 species
AAUGAACGUUGGCGGCGUGGAUUAGGCAUGCAAGUCGCGCGAGAACCCCGCAAGGGGGGAAAGCGGCGAAAGGGACAGUAAUGCGUAGAUUAUCUGCCCUCGGGUUCGGGAUAGCUGCGGGAAACUGCAGGUAAUACCGAAUAACAUCUGCGGAUCAAAGGUGUGAUUCCGCCCGGGGAUGAGUCUGCGUCCUAUUAGCUUGUUGGUGGGGUAACGGCCUACCAAGGCAAUGAUGGGUAGCGGGUGUGAGAGCACGACCCGCGUCACUGGGACUGAGACACUGCCCAGACACCUACGGGUGGCUGCAGUCGAGGAUCUUCGGCAAUGGGCGCAAGCCUGACCGAGCGACGCCGCGUGCGGGAUGAAGGCUUUCGGGUUGUAAACCGCUGUCAGAGGGGAUGAAAGGUAGGUGGGUACUCCCAUCUAUUUGACAUAGCCUCAGAGGAAGUACGGGCUAAGUUCGUGCCAGCAGCCGCAGUAAUAC